GUAGGUGAACCUGCGGAAGGAUCAUUAGUGAAUUUUAGGGCGUCUACUUCGGUAGAGCCUGACCUCCACUCUCUAACACUGUGCACUCAUUGGCGGAAAUAGUAAUGAGAUAAUAUCAAGUUUUAUUUUCCGCGGCUUAAUUUUUAAACAUUAGUCAAAGUAUGUAACGAAAUAUCGAAAUAAAAAAAAAACUUUCAACAACGGAUCUCUUGGCUCUC
rnacentral:misc_RNA from 1 species